CGUUGACGGCGUUGGAGCCCGUCACGUUGCCGAUGGAAGCGUCGGCGUACUGGUCCUGGAUGGCCGCCACCUUGCUGGCGAACGUGUCUGGUGACGGAGGAGAGGCGGGAAGACAUUGCAGCAUUUAUUCCUGCUGACGAAUUCCGCCGUCUCACCUGGCACAGACGUGCCCAGCGCCACGAAGACCACGGCCGUCACCGAGUCCUUCAGCCCCACCGUGCAGCCGAAGUGCGACGCCAGGUCGCCGGUGACGGCCGUCAGCGCGCCGAUCAGCGAGAUGGAAACGAUGAAGCAGGCCCAACCGUUCCAGUACUCGGUGGGCGGGACGAAGGCGAACAGCACCUUCCAGAAGACGACACGGACCGUGCUUCUGUCCAAUCUCCAAGAGAAGCGGCUCGCCCAGCUCGAUGGUGAAGGUCUUGUUCUUCUCAUACUCCUCGUCGUCGAUAAUCCUCACCUCGAUGAUCUUCCUACACGUGUGAAAGCAGACGCUUG